rnacentral:rRNA from 1 species
AUUGAACGCUGGCGGCAGGCCUAACACAUGCAAGUCGAGCGGAUGAAGGGAGCUUGCUCUUGUCUUCAGCUGCGGACGGGUGAGUAAUGCCUAGGAAUCUACCUUGUAGUGGGGGAUAAGGUCCGUUCACGGGCGCUAAUAUCGCAUACGUCAUGAGGGUGAACGUGGGGGUUCUUUGGACCUCACGCUAUUUGCUGUGCCUAGGUCGGAUUAGCUAGUUGGUUUGGUAAAGGCUUACCAAGGCGACGAUCCGUAACUGGUCUGAGAGGAUGAUCAGUCACACUGGAACUGAGACACGGUCCAGACUCCUACGGGAGGCAGCAGUGGGGAAUAUUCGACAAUGGGCGAAAGCCUGAUCGAGCAAUGCCGCGUGAGUGAAGAAGGUCUUCGGAUUGUAAAGCACUUUAAGUUGGGAAGAAGGGCAGUGAGUUAAAACCUGGCUGUUUUGACGGUACCAACAGAAAAAGCAACGGCUAACUUCGUG